rnacentral:rRNA from 1 species
UUGACCUCGAAUCAGGUAGGACUACCCGCUGAACUUAAGCAUAUCAAUAAGCGGAGG